GGGCUUUUCACGGCGCGGCGGAGCGCCUAUAUUCCGCUCGCCGGGGCAACCCGGCUAUGGCGAUAAACGGCCGGUGUAAUAAACCUUUCGGACCCGGGGGCGGUACCCGGCGCCUCCACCUGAACCCUUCGUUGGAAGGGCUGAGGCGGGGGCGAAAUAGGAUCGACGAGGGUGUAAAGAUCGUUCUUUCGCUCGGCAUGGUACCACCGUCAUCGGGCUGUAAAAAUAGUUGCCAACGACAACUAUGCGGAAGCCCGUCUCGCCGCGUAAAGCGGUGCGAUAGCUUCAAAUUAAGCCCUGGGGGUUCGCACUCCUAGGCGGGGCCCGGAGGCGCCUGGCAACAGAAGCCUCCACC
rnacentral:tmRNA from 1 species